rnacentral:lncRNA from 1 species
UGUCGGACGCAUGUGAUCUUGACACCAAGUGUAACAGCCUUGUACGAAAGGAAAAAUGUAGCAUCGUUCAAUUGAGGGCUGAAUGUAGCAGCACACCAGGGCUCCUCCCGCUAUUAGAGAGAGAACGUGUGCAUGCCGAGGGGUGUUUCUGACACAGCUUCAAUGACCAAAAUGUUGAGGUCUCCGCAGCAUGUCAGGAGAAUUUCAUGCUGCCAAGAUACGAUUUGAUUGUAUGCAAGGCCCACACAAUCUUUGAGUGCUGCCCUUGAGCUCAAUCGAGGAGGAUGGUGUUUAGAGUUGACAUGACCCUGAAGCACCUGGAAAAACACUCCGCAUCUCUUGUGGACCUUCUUUCCAAUUCCACUGGUCGGACUUUGGACACCCUAUACGCUACAUUUGUACAUCGGUGAGACGCAGAGAUCUCAUCCGUUUCCAAGGAAAGCUGACGUGUAGUGAGAGAAGAAAAUAGGUUGACAGUCUCUGCUUAGUAUCUACCUUGCCUUAUGGACGUAUUUGCUAGUGGUAUGUAUUAGCUGAAAGUCCAACGAGAAACCCCCUGCAUGCAUGAGCUGUGGGACUGCCCUGCAGGAUUGGCAUCAGUGAACCCUUCUUCAAGCGUGGUUGGGGCGAUCUCGGCGUUGUCAAUUUCGAAGAUGCGGCCGAACUGCUCGAAGGCUGGCCUCCCGAGCAUUUCGACUUCAAGG